rnacentral:rRNA from 1 species
UGGGGAAUUUUGGACGAAUUGGGCGAAAGCCUGAAUCCAGCAAUGCCGCGUGUGUGAAGAAGGCCUUCGGGUUGUAAAGCACUUUUGUCCGGAAAGAAAUCCUUGGCUCUAAUACAGUCGGGGGAUGACGGUACCGGAAGAAUAAGCACCGGCUAACUACGUGCCAGCAGCCGCGGUAAUACGUAGGGUGCAAGCGUUAAUCGGAAUUACUAGGCGUAAAGCGUGCGCAGGCGGUUUGCUAAGACCGAUGUGAAAUCCCCGGGCUCAACCUGGGAACUGCAUUGGUGACUGGCAGGCUAGAGUAUGGCAGAGGGGGGUAGAAUUCCACGUGUAGCAGUGAAAUGCGUAGAGAUGUGGAGGAAUACCGAUGGCGAAGGCAGCCCCCUGGCAAGUACUGACGCUCAUGCACGAAAAGCGUGGGGGAGCAAACNGGA